UCUCUUGAACCCAGGAGGCGGAGAUUGCAGUGAGCCGAGAUCGUGCCAUUGCACUCCAACCUGGGCAAAAAGAGAGAAACUCCGUCUCAAAAAAAAAAAAAAAAAAAAAAAAAAAAAAAAAAAAAAAAACCUACUGGGCCGCAUGUGGCCCGAGGGCCGCGGGUUGGACAGGCUUGGUGUAAAAUCUCUAUUUUGGCAAAUCUUUGAGCACAAUCUCCAACUGUAUGGGCUGGGGAGAUGAAGAGAAACAUCCUGGGAUAUCUCAGGCCCUACUCUUUACUUUCAGAGUGAAGAAGGGACCAGAGAACCAGGAAAACAGCAGAAUCUUUAAGGGAAAAUCAGGGAUAUUGGAUACAAUUUCUUAAACUCAGAGGGAACGCAUAGGGAUUACCUAUAAAAUCAGAACAGUAACCUCAAGAAGGAAAUCUUUAGUAAAUC
rnacentral:lncRNA from 10 species